rnacentral:rRNA from 1 species
GAUGAACGCUGGCGGCGUGCCUAAUACAUGCAAGUCGAGCGAACAGACGAGGAGCUUGCUCCUCUGACGUUAGCGGCGGACGGGUGAGUAACACGUGGAUAACCUACCUAUAAGACUGGGAUAACUUCGGGAAACCGGAGCUAAUACCGGAUAAUAUAUUGAACCGCAUGGUUCAAUAGUGAAAGACGGUUUUGCUGUCACUUAUAGAUGGAUCCGCGCCGCAUUAGCUAGUUGGUAAGGUAACGGCUUACCAAGGCAACGAUGCGUAGCCGACCUGAGAGGGGGAUCGGCCACACUGGAACUGAGACGCGGUCCAGACUCCGACGGGAGGCAGCAGUAGGGAAUCUUCCGCAAUGGGCGAAAGCCUGACGGAGCAACGCCGCGUGAGUGAUGAAGGUCUUCGGAUCGUAAAACUCUGUUAUUAGGGAAGAACAAAUGUGUAAGUAACUAUGCACGUCUUGACGGUACCAAAACAGAAAGCCACGGCUAACUACGUG